AUCCACCCUUUGAAAACUGAUCCAAAGCCACCUUCUCCUAGUACACUAUCUGGUCGGAAGUUUCUAGUGGCAUUCUUCAGCUCAUUGAAGCUAAAGUUCUUUAAAUUUGCUGCCUGCAAGAUCUCACCCUCACUUCGAGGAGUUUGGGGUACAGAAGCUGAUGAGACCUUGCUACUCAAAUUCUUUCCAUCUCUGCUGGAAUUUUUUGAAUUCAGCCCAGUAUUAGAAGGAGUAUAAGCCUUGAUUCGAUUGCUAAAGCAGAGUCCCAUCAAAACAAACGCUUCAGAACUUCAAUAUUGCAAUUACAAAAGCCAAACUCAAAUCAAACAAAGAGAAAGCUCAGAU
rnacentral:misc_RNA from 1 species